rnacentral:tRNA from 1 species
GGGGUGUUAGCUCAGUGAUAGAGCACUUGCCUCAUAUGUGAGAGGCAUGGGGUUUGAUCCUCAGUACCACA